GAUGAACGCUGGCGGCGUGCUUAACACAUGCAAGUCGAACGGGAAAUAUUUCAUUGAGACUUCGGUGGAUUUGAUUUAUUUCUAGUGGCGGACGGGUGAGUAACGCGUGGGUAACCUGCCUUAUACAGGGGGAUAACAGUCAGAAAUGGCUGCUAAUACCGCAUAAGCGCACAGAGCUGCAUGGCUCAGUGUGAAAAACUCCGGUGGUAUAAGAUGGACCCGCGUUGGAUUAGCUAGUUGGUGGGGUAACGGCCCACCAAGGCGACGAUCCAUAGCCGGCCUGAGAGGGGGAACGGGCACAUUGGGACUGAGACACGGCCCAGACUCCUACGGGAGGCAGCAGUGGGGAAUAUUGCACAAUGGGGGAAACCCUGAUGCAGCGACGCCGCGUGAAGGAAGAAGUAUCUCGGUAUGUAAACUUCUAUCAGCAGGGAAGAUAGUGACGGUACCUGACUAAGAAGCCCCGGCUAACUACGUG
rnacentral:rRNA from 1 species